rfam:Nematostella vectensis strain CH2 x CH6 NEMVEscaffold_89_Cont11618, whole genome shotgun sequence.
GGGCAAAUGAUGAUCUUUACUAUCUUCUCUGAACAUGCACUGUGGAGUAUCAAACGAGCUUUUUAAAUCUGAGCCCA